UCAGAAGUUAGUUUAAUAAAAAUAUAAGUUUUGGAUAUUUAUGAUAGGAUAAGUUUUACUUUUGAU
rnacentral:tRNA from 1 species